rfam:Tuber melanosporum whole genome shotgun sequence assembly, scaffold_105, strain Mel28
UCCGUUGUGGUGUAAUGGUUAGCAUCUGUCGCUCUCACCGACAAGAUCGGGGUUCAAUUCCCCGCAACGGAA